UUGCCUUAAGCACGCGGCGAGGCUUGCUCUAGUAUCGGUCACGGCAGUUAUGUUUUCUUGUUCAUAGUUUUCUAUUGUUUUUGGCACUGGUUUGUGUAGUUGCAAGGUGCCCGUUUUGGAUCUUUGAGACGCCGCGUCGCGAUCAUCACACUUUUGCCAUUGGCCGGUCGUCUCUGUAACUCCCUAAAGGGCUUUGUAGGUAAGGAGGUAGCUUGCGUCACUCGUGACCCGAGCUUCAACGCGGCAACCUGUAAGCGGCAGAGGCGGCGAGGGGGAGCGGCCGAGGUGCCGUAAAUGGCCUCGGAGGGGCAAAGCCGUAUCCUGGUGCCGCGCUGGCUGUUCUUGGAAUUGGAUGAGGAUUUGAGGUGAGCUGCGGUGGUAGCAAGGAGGAGAAUAGGACCGGUGACUUCU